rnacentral:rRNA from 1 species
UACGGAAGGGGCUAGCGUUGUUCGGAAUUACUGGGCGUAAAGAGCGCGUAGGCGGCUUACCAAGUUGGGGGUGAAAUCCCUGAGCUCAACUCCGGAACUGCCUUCAAAACUGGUAGGCUCGAGUCCGGAAGAGGGGCGUGGAAUUCCCAGUGUAGAGGUGAAAUUCGUAGAUAUUGGGAAGAACACCGGUGGCGAAGGCGGCGCCCUGGUCCGGUACUGACGCUGAGGCGCGCACGCGUGGGGAGCACACACG